rnacentral:rRNA from 1 species
CGGGACUGGUGAGUAACGCGUGAGGAACCUGCCUUUCGGAGGGGGACAACAGUUGGAAACGACUGCUAAUACCGCAUGAUACAUUUGGGCCGCAUGGUCUGAAUGUCAAAGAUUUAUCGCCGAAAGAUGGCCUCGCGUCUGAUUAGCUAGUUGGUGGGGUAACGGCCCACCAAGGCGACGAUCAGUAGCCGGACUGAGAGGUUGGCCGGCCACAUUGGGACUGAGACACGGCCCAAACUCCUACGGAAGGCAGCAG